UCGGAGAGUUUGAUCCUGGCUCAGGACGAACGCUGGCGGCGUGCCUAAUACAUGCAAGUCGAGCGGACAGAAGGGAGCUUGCUCCCGGAUGUUAGCGGCGGACGGGUGAGUAACACGUGGGUAACCUGCCUGUAAGACUGGGAUAACUCCGGGAAACCGGAGCUAAUACCGGAUAGUUCCUUGAACCGCAUGGUUCAAGGAUGAAAGA
rnacentral:rRNA from 1 species